rnacentral:rRNA from 1 species
AGAGUUUGAUCCUGGCUCAGGAUGAACGCUAGCUACAGGCUUAACACAUGCAAGUCGAGGGGAAACGACAUCGAAAGCUUGCUUUUGAUGGGCGUCGACCGGCGCACGGGUGAGUAACGCGUAUCCAACCUGCCCACCACUUGGGGAUAACCUUGCGAAAGUAAGACUAAUACCCAAUGACGUCUCUAGAAGACAUCUGAAGGAGAUUAAAGAUUUAUCGGUGAUGGAUGGGGAUGCGUCUGAUUAGCUUGGUUGGCGGGGUAACGGCCCACAAGGCGACGAUCAGUAGGGGUUCUGAGAGGAAGGUCCCCCANAUUGGAACUGAGACACGGUCCAAACUCCGUACGGGAGGCA